UUGGAACACUGGUUCCCGUAUGAUCACUGAAGUUAAGCAAUGUCAAACCUGAUCAGUAUCUAGAUGGGUGACCACUUGGGAAUACCAGGUACUGUA